GGGGCUGGUGGUGUUCUUAGUCCUAAGGUUGCCCCUGGAUCUCCUCCACUCCACAUAAGGAAUAGAUUUCAAAAGCUAUUAAUGCAACAUAGAUGUGCGGUUUGAAUGCCUUAGAUCAGCAUUAGCUCUAGUCUAGUCUGUUAAUCAAUAAAUGAAAACAUUGUGGUUGCUAGAGAAUGCUCCGUGUAAGCUUGAUCAAAUUCUUCUAAACCAAACAAAGCCAAAGCUUUACAUCUUAAAAAUGGAACAUUUUAAAUAUAAGCAGGGGAUUCUGUGGAGGUCCUGCCAAUUGUUUCUUUUCAGGGCUUUGCAUUAUAAAACCCUACCUGUCCUUGCAUAUAAAGUUUGUUUAAGUUGGCGUGAGGAUGUGGCCAUUUCCACUAACACCCCCCUCCUCUUCCACCCCCCCCCCAACUGCACGCUCUCUUCUCAAUAUGGGACCUAAGGCCUGCUAGCCUUGUUUUGCUUGUUUUUUACUGUGGCAUGCAUUUUUGUGUUAUUAUAUUGUAAACCACCCUUCGGAUGAAAUGAGGUAUAGAAAUUUAUUUAAUAAUAAUAAGAUGCAGAGACAGAGUCCAUUUGGGACUCCUUUCUAGCUGUACUGCUCUACGCAGCUACCUCAGUUAUGUAGGUGCUGAAAACAGUGGCACCAGACUAUAGAAAUUCUGUGUUUUACCCUGACUUCUAGCAUCCUGGUAUAGAUGAGGUAUUCAGUGACUGAACCUUGCCAAAUUUUUCCUUCUUUCCACCCAUUAGCCCAUUAGCUACCCUAGCAGGGUUGGUUUCGCAACUGCUCGACAAGGGAUGUCACUAGAUAGACCAAUGACAGAAGCUCACUUCAUGCACAAAAUGAAAAUGUGGAUACUAAACUACCAUAUGGUGUACAUUUAGCCCCCCCACCAGGCUCACAUGGCUUCUCCCGGCCACUCAAGUGUUGAGGGAUAACCUCUGAAGUUGGGGGCCUUUUCUAUUUCUAUAGACUCUCUGUGCAAUCAUAGAAUUGUAGAAAUCUUUCAGGAUUCCAAAUGGUGCAGGGAGCCCCUUUGAAGAGAAAAGGCUCACUGCUUCAGAAGUUAUCCUUCAACAUGCAAGAGGCCAGGGGGGACGGGACGGGACAUGACCUCACAGUCGCCCCUCCAGACCUUUAGGAUCUGUAUUGUACACUUGCAUGUGAAAGGGGCCUCUGUUAUUAGUCUGCAUGGUUAUGGUCCCUGUGCGAAGAAGGCGAGAGGGCAAUUCGACACUUGUUUCAAUCAUUCAGUCAGCCCUCAGCAUCAGUGUGGCAGUCACAGUGAUGGAGAUCAACACAGUCCCCACCACCACAAUUUCUGUGUGGUUUUCUGAAAGCAUUAUAAAGUAAACUAGAUUUGUCAUAACAAGCUUUCCCCUGUCAAACAGCACAUUUUCUCAGAGCUAAACUAUGUGGACAGCAUCGUAUACAGAUAAAAGGGAUUUUUUUUAUGUUAUGUGUGUGUGUUUUAAAUUAACACUCCACUUCAACCCAGUUGAAUUGGCAGGAUUGGGGGGCAGAUUAACAGAAAGGCCCCCCGAAGCACAGCAUAGCUAGUGUACCACAUUUUUAAAUGAAAUAAGUAAUAGUAUUUCCAUCCAAGAGCGUCUCCAUCACCUGAAGAACAGGACGUCCAGAGCCCAAAGAGUCAAAAUAAGCCCUAUUGGGCUCUCACAGGAAUUGAAAUUGAAAUACUUUAUUGUCACUUGUACAACUUGUGUAAAGAGAGAUUAGACGAGCACCCCCCACUCAGCUCUCUUAGCCUUAAUUCCCCUCGUUUACUGACGCACACCCACCAAACCCAAAAGUCAAUUGCCCUGUUGUUAUCUUUUCAUUCAGCAGCCUAACAGCCCACGGAUAGAAGCUGUUCUUUACCCUGUUGGUGCGACUAAUCAUGCUUCUAUAUCUUCUGCCCGAGGGCAGGAGAUCAAGAAAGUGCAGGCCAGGGUGCGAAUCAUCCCUGAGAAUUUUCCUCAUCUCCUGAGGCAACGUUCUUCCGCUAUUUCAUCCAGCAGAUUCACGGGACAGCCCAUAAUAUCUUGUGCUGUAUUCACCACUCUCUGUAGGCACUUCCUAUCAGUUGAUGUCAAACCAGCGCACCACACCGUGAUGCAGUAUGAAAGAACAAUUUCUAUUGUAGACCGGUAGAAGGAGAUCAUCAAAUGUUGAUUGACAUCGUUCUUUCGCAAUACUCUGAGGAGAUGGAGUCUCUGUUGGGCUUUCUUAACCACCUGAGUUGUAUUUAUUUUCCAAGUAAGGUCUUCACGGAGAUAAACUCCUAGGAAUUUAAAGGAAGAGACUCUUCACAAUGAAUUCACAAUGAACAUAUAAGUGACAGAAGAAAACCCAAAUGCUGUCAACCUCAAAGAAUAAAACAAACAAAACAAACCCCACCAGCCUCAUAUACCUUAGAACUAGGGAUAGGGAAGAAAUUUUAUUCCGCUUGCAUCUGAAUGUGAACCCCAUCUAAUUUGCAACCUGCGAACCAAACCACAGCCCCCCUUUGAAAUUUGUUCUUCUCUGAAUUUUGCAAUGCCACCCACCAGCCAGCUAACAGGUACAAAAAUGUGCAUACUAGGGUAAAGCGUGCAUAGAAAUGAGUACUGAAGGGAAAAUAACAUACACAAAUGCAUUUUAUUAGGGGACACUGUUUUGUAACACCCCCCCAAAAAAACCCUGUACAUUAGGCAUAAGAGUAUAUGAAAAUGUGUGUGUGAGGGGAAAUUGGCACUAAAAUACUGGUGAAUUUUCAUGAGGGGUUAAUUUUAUUUUGCAAACGGAUGUGGAGAACUGAACUUAAUAUUGGAAACAUUAGAAACUGAAAUUCUUAGAAUCAUAGAAUUGUAGAAUUGGAAGGGACCUCAAGGGCUGUUCAGACCAACCUCCUGCUAUGCAGGAAAGUCAAGUAAAGCAUCCAUGACAGAUGACCACCCAACCUCUGCUUAGAUACUUCCAAGGAAGGAGAGUCCACCACCUCUUGUGGGAAUCUGUCCCACUGUCAAACAUCUCUUACUGUCAGAAAGUUCUUCCUGAUGUUUAGUCAGAAUCUCCUUUCUUAUAACCCGUCCACUUCAAAGCACUGUGAUACCAGGAUGGUAAUGCAAAUUAAAACAAACCAAUACGAUUAUAAACAGAAAAAUACAGGGAGCAGAUAAAAAUUGCAGCAAGAGCAUCAAUGGUAAUAAUAAAUCAGAAUCCAGCCACUUGUGUCAUUAGACAGGCCCUUGUCAUUUGCCUACAACCACCCAUCACACAAAUCUUUGUGAUUUGCUAUUCUUCUUCCUUUUUUGCUUUCAGCUUCUGAUUCUUUCCUUUCCAUGAUGAUGUUUAUUCUGCAGCUCCUCUAAGCAGAUCUCCACCCCCCCCCUUUUUUUGCCUUGGCAUUUGCCAUAUCCAUCUGUGGCUGGCAAGCCUUUAUUGAAUAUUUUAAUUUCCAUUCCGCCCUCCCCACCUUUCCCCUCUAAUCCCAGCAUGCUUAACUGAUUACAGCUAGGAUUCUCGCUGCUUCUAAGAUUUUUGUUUGGCAUAAGGUGUAGCAGAGCAGAACUGACUUCCUGGCAUGGUUUCACAUGCUGCCUAUCGGCUGGCUCUCAUAUCUGUAGGCUCCCUGUUAAUGAAUCUGAAUAGCUUCCUAUGCCAGUAGACACGCUUAUUAAAACUGAGAUUACUUAGAGGUGAUUUGCCAAAGGGACAGAGGGAUUUAAUCCCUCUCACACACCCCUCCCCAUCAGGUUAUAUUUUAAAGCAGGCCUGGAUGAAUUGUGACCCAGCAAAUUUAACACAGCCCACCGGGUAUAUAUGAUUGCAGCUUGCCAAGAGUAUUUAACAGCCAUCCUGGUUUUACUGUCCCAGAACUGGAGGCAGGAAGGCAGCCAAAAUUGGAGGGCCAUUGAACCCAGACCUACCAGUGGGUUUGGGAGGCAUUUCCUCCACCCCCCCCUUUGACUAAAUUGAAAUCUGAAGCGUUUUUUUCCUGGGGCAGGGGGGGUGUUUUCCUGGGGCAGGGGGGUGAAAUGUGAGAAUUUCAAAGGAAGCACACAGAAUUUUUUUGUCCACUGAGUGUGAACUUGCAAUUGAAAUGGACUUUGCGGAGACAAUUCAUGAUUUUUCGGGGGGGGGGGGGAGCCAGAAAAAUAAAGUUUUAAAGCUCUAUUUUAUUUUAUUUAGAAAUGUUUGCAGCUGUGUUGAUCCAUUAUAAUGAGAAGAAUCAAAACACUGACAGAUGAGGACCGACCGUAAAGUUGUAAAAUAGUCAGCAAGCUUUAAACAAAAGUAGCCAAAAGCAGUGUGGUAGAAAAGCCACCGUGUGGACCUUGGUGUAAUUUUAGAAAUGAAAUUUUAGAAUUAAAAUAGAAACUUUCCUUUCAUAACUUGUGUUAGCAUAUGUAAGGGACAGAAUCAUGGCAUGCUUGUUGGAGGGGGAACAUGUUACCAGUUUGUACUCCAUGUGGCCCCCCCCCAUGCAAAAAAAAAAAAAAAAGGAUACUUGGGGCCUGCAUCAUUUACCGUAUUUUUUGCUCUAUAAGAUGUACUUUUUCCCUCCUAAAAAGUAAGGGAAAAUGUGUGUGCAUCUUAUGCUGUUCUGGCUUCAGGGAUAGCUGCGCAAAGCCUCUUCAACAACAUUUGAUUCAGAAUAUUUUUCUUCUUCUUUUCCUCCUCUAAAAACUAGGUGCAUCUUAUGGUCUGGUACGUCUUGCAGAGCGAAAAAUACGGUAGGUCUUGCUAGACCCACAACAUAGCUGGGUUGUGCUUGGCUUGGUGGGUUGGGUGUUGUGCAAGCAUAUAUUUUUUAUAAUCCUUUUAUUUCAAAGCCUGUUUUCACGACUCUCACAAUGGCUUCAGCAGCCUACUUACGGCAGUUGAUAGUCGCCUAUUGUGGUUCUGGUGGUAGAUGGAUGCAUGCCUGGUGGUUCACUGGAAUCAAUGCCCAUGAGGUAAAUUCUGGUCCGAACCUGAGUCCAUUACUGAUUGCCAAAUGCUAAGCUUGCUCCAUAAUUGUUAUGGGAGACAUAAAACCCUAAAUCAGAUGAGCAGAAAGUUGUGAAAGAUACAUUGGACAUGAUAAUAUUUGGCUUAAUCUUAUGUUUUUGCUAAAGGGAAGGGAGUGACGUUUUCAAGGCUCCAAUUAUAAGGAAAACUACUUGGAACUAAAUGAGAUUUACAUCUGAGUGAGCCUGAUUAAGAUCACCCUACAGUAGUUUUAAACAAAUUUUCUGUAUUUGCCAGCAUGUUUUAUGAUAUAGUGUUGCUGCCUUUGUAAUCUGCCCUAUGGCAAUAGCGUAAGACAGUGGGAUAUCCUAUGAAACAUAGAACUGGGGUUAAUAGCUGCUUAGCCUUAAACACAUUUGGUAGGGCUUUUGUUUUGUUUUUAGGUAACAAGCCUCGUCCCCCAACCUUGUCUAUCCAUUUCUUAUGUGUAAAACAGGAACUGUCACGAUAUCGCUCACUGGAUUUUUGUUGGGAUGUGAACUGGGUAAGGGACAGAGCAAACCUUAUACUCUGAAAGUGUGUAUGGAAAUUGUUUUGAUUAAUUGUAGCAUGACUGCUAAGUAAAUGUGUUUUUGACACGGUCAAAAUUAGACCCAGAUUGGC
rnacentral:lncRNA from 1 species